GAGCGUUGUCCGGAAUCACUGGGCGUAAAGGGCGCGUAGGCGGUCUGCUAAGCGUGCGGUGAAAGCCUGGGGCUCAACCCCAGGUCUGCCGUGCGAACUGGUGGACUAGAGCACUGUAGAGGCAGGUGGAAUUCCGGGUGUAGCGGUGGAAUGCGUAGAGAUCCGGAAGAACACCGGUGGCGAAGGCGGCCUGCUGGGCAGUUGCUGACGCUGAGGCGCGACAGCGUGGGGAGCAAACAGG
rnacentral:rRNA from 1 species